rnacentral:lncRNA from 1 species
CCAUGUGCCACCACUCAAUGUCGCCAAUGCCACCACCCCAUGUCCCCAUGUGCCACCACCCCACGUUCCCAUGUGCCACCACCCCGUGUCCCCAGGUGCCACCACCCAAUGUCCCCACGUGCCAACACCCCAUGUGCCACCACCCCACAUCCCCACGUGCCACCACCCCCUGUCCCCAUGUGCCACCAUCCCCAUGUGCCACCACCCAAUGUCCCCAAUGCCACCACCCCAUGUCCCCAUGUGCCACCACCCCAUGUCCUCACGUCCCCACAUCCCCAUGUGCCACCGCCCCAAGUGCCACCACCCCCAUGUGCCACCACCCAAUGUCCCCAAUGCUACCACCCCAAUGUCCCCAUGUGCCACCAUCCCCAUGUGCUACCACCCAAUGUCCCCAUGUGCCACCACCCCAUGUCCCCAUGUGUCACAACCCCAAUGUCCCCAUGUGCCACCACCCAAUGUCCCUGUGUGUCACCACCCCCGUGUGCCACCACCCCAAUGUCCCCACGUGCCACCACCCCAUGUCCCCAUGUGCCACCAUCCCCAUGUGCUACCACCCAAUGUCCCCAUGUGUCACCGCCCCAUGUGCCACCACCCUAUGUCCCCAGGUGCCAACACCCCAUGUGCCACCACCCCAUGUCCCCAUGUGCCACCACCCCAAUGUCCCCAUGUGCCACCACCCCAUGUGCCACCACCCCAUGUCCCCAGGUGCUACCACCCAAUGUCCCCGUGGGCCACCACCCCCAUGUCCCCAAUGCUGCCACUCCAAUGUCCCCAUGUGCCACCACCCCAAUGUCCCCAUGUGCCACCACACCAGGUGUCACCACCCCAUGUCCCCCAUGUGCCACCACCGCAUGUGCCACCACCCCAUGUCCCCAAUGCCACCACCCCAAUGUCCCCAUGUGCCACCACCCCAAUGUCCCCAUGUCCAACCACCCCACGUGCCACCACCCAAUGUCCCCAUGUGCCACCACCCCACGUCCCCAUGUGCCACCACCCAAUGUCCCCAUGUGCCCCCACCCCAUGUCCUCACGUCCCCACAUCCCCAUGUGCCACCGCCCCAAAUGCCACCACCCCAUGUGCCACCACCCAAUGUCCCCAAUGCCACCACCCCAGUGUCCCAAUGCCACCACCCCAAUGUCCCCAUGUGCCACCACCCCAUGUGCUACCACCCAAUGUCCCCGUGGGCCACCACCCCCAUGUCCCCAAUGCUGCCACCCCAAUGUCCCCAUGUGCCACCACCCCAAUGUCCC